UACGAAGGGGGGCUAGCGUUGCUCGGAAUCACUGGGCGUAAAGCGCACGUAGGCGGCUUCUUAAGUCAGGGGGUGAAAUCCUGGAGCUCAACUCCAGAACUGCCUUUGAUACUGACGAUCUGGAGAUCGGGAGAGGUUGGUGGAAUUCCGAGUGUAGAGGUGAAAUUCGUAGAUAUUCGGAGGAACACCAGAAGCGAAGGCGGCCAACUGGCCCGAUACUGACGCUGAGGCGCGAAAGCGUGGGGAGCAAACAGG
rnacentral:rRNA from 1 species